GACGAACGCUGGCGGCGUGCCUAAUACAUGCAAGUCGAACGAGAGCGACCGGUGCUUGCACUGGUCAAUCUAGUGGCGAACGGGUGAGUAACACGUGGGUAACCUGCCCAUCAGAGGGGGAUAACAUCCGGAAACGGAUGCUAAAACCGCAUAGGUCUUCGAGCCGCAUGGCUUGAAGAGGAAAAGAGGCGCAAGCUUCUGCUGAUGGAUGGACCCGCGGUGUAUUAGCUAGUUGGUGAGGUAACGGCUCACCAAGGCCGUGAUGCAUAGCCGACCUGAGAGGGUGAUCGGCCACAUUGGGACUGAGACACGGCCCAAACUCCUACGGGAGGCAGCAGUAGGGAAUCUUCCGCAAUGGAUGCAAGUCUGACGGAGCAACGCCGCGUGAGUGAAGAAGGUGUUCGGAUCGUAAAACUCUGUUGUUAGAGAAGAACAAGUGCUAGAGUAACUGUUAGCGCCUUGACGGUAGCUAACCAGAAAGCCACGGCUAACUACGUG
rnacentral:rRNA from 1 species